rnacentral:tRNA from 1 species
AAUGAGUCCAUAAAGCAAGUCUUCUAAAUUUGUUCUAGGUUAAAUCCUGCUCAUUU